rnacentral:misc_RNA from 1 species
GUAGGUGAACCUGCGGAAGGAUCAUUAACACUCAUCCAAAAACGUGUUUAGAAAGUUUUUCUUUCUAGACAUAAACCCCCUUUUUUUAAAGCGAACUGUUCUUUUUUUUUUCUUUUUCUAUUUUUUACACCUAAAACCCAAUUGAAAAAUCUAGACUGAACUUUUGUUUUUUUCUCUUUUUUUUUUUUUCUCUUCUUUCUUGGAAGGAAAACUAAAAAAACAAAAAAAACUAAUAAAAAAAAAACGCUAUACAACUCUUAACAACGGAUAUCUUGGUUCUC